UUUAUAUAUACGGAUUUAUACGGAUUUUUUUUAUACGGUAAUAAUUACAUGUAAAUAAGAUGAUCAAUCUUACUUCAAUAAGUUAUAAAUUGGUAAAAAGAUCUAAAGUUUCACUUUUGUAUAUUAGAUUAUACAAUGAAUAAAACUGGAAAUAUGUUGACUAAUAAUUUUGUUGAUUCUGAAUAUAUACCGAUAUCAGAUGUAAACAUUUUACAAGAAAGAAAUACAAAUAAAAGAGAAAUUGAUUUAAUUUUUCAUGAAGAAUUUCAAUGGAAAGACAAGCUUAUAUGGAACAAAUAAGCUAUUUUUGCACUUUUCUGCUUAUGAAGCUUGUGAUAUUGAAGCUGAACACCAAAAAAAAAAAUAAAAGUUUUGACAAUCAAUUGCAGAAGAUCUGAAUAAAUUAUGUUUAUUUAAAGUUCCAUUAUCAAGUAAUCAAGUAAGAUGGAAAUUUAGUGCAUAAAAAAAAAAGAUUAUAAUCGUACAAGUAGAAAUGCUCCGAAGAUUUUUGAUGAUUACGACAAAAGAUUACAUGAAAUUUUAGGUCAUAAAAGCGUUACCAGUGAAAGCAGUGAAAAUGUUUUUAAUUCGCCAAUAUUAGUGAAUACUCAAAAUAUAACAAUUAAUAUAGAAUACGUAAAAGAAUCAAAUAAUGUCCAAGAAAAUACUAGAACUGAAGAACAUAAUACAGGAAAUACUAGCUCAGAAAUGAGAAUAGUACAAAAAAAAAGAAUGAAACAGGCUCAAAAACAUUUCGAACAAAAUUAGAGUUAGAGAAGCAAUGGUUCAUGGUGGAACAUCUUCAGUUCAUUCAGAAAAAAUAUGAAGA